UUCACUUUGAUUCAAUCUGUCUAUCAGGAACGACAUUGACUCUAAAGUAUUAUCGUUAACAUUUCUGUCAAACAACAAUCUCGAAUCAAUUUGGAAGUUAAUAAAGAAAUUCAGACUAGCAUAAAUUUCUUUAGCUGUGUCGGUGAUGUCUGAUUCUCCUGAAAGCAUCAUGUCGACGAGUCUGUUACGAAUGACAACUUUACAAUGCCACGCGAAUGCUUUGUGUAAGUAUGUACUGUAACAUGGUAUAGCACCUAAAAGGGUAGAGAGUUGUUCCAUCACCAUGAUAUCGCAUAGAUGUUGACGCGACAAACAUUCUUCGAGUUUGCGACGCGUGUUAAGAACAUCGCGCAUACGCUGAUCGAUAUCUACUACACCACCAUCAUCAUCUUCUGCAACAACGUACAACCGAUCGCUCUGUCGUGUCAACAGUUUUGCCACAGAUUCUUGAAUGGUUCCGUUUUCCGAAAUCGUCACUUCUACAGGUGGGGUUAGAAUCAGGGUGUUGAGCGUGUCCGUUAUGUUGAUUCUCUUUUUCAAGUAACUUAACAGUUUGAUGAGAGAAGCCAAUCUUACGUGCUUGUGCUUGAAUCUGUCAACAUUGGAGAGUAACACAGCGUAAUAUGUUGACAAUUCAUCCAUAGCUUGUUCAGAAUAUGCAGUUCUAGGUUCAUUAACAAGACUAGGAGGUACGGCCGUAGCCGUAGUAUUUGUGUUAGUUGCAACAUUUUCUUCGUCUAAUUUUCUCUUCUUAGACUGCACCGCCGUCAGACAAUCAGUCGUUGAUUUGGCUUUCAUCGUCUUGUGAUCGGAUAUAGCUAUUACAUUACCAAUGUUAUUUCUGAUAAAAGAUUUCAUGGAGUGAAUCAAGGAAAAGUUAUCCAAGGAUUUCCUGUAACUUUGAGUACAUUUGUAUUUGUGUUAGUGUUACAGAUGGUACAGUACUGGGACGCGACGUGUUUCACUUGCGGAUUUGUGCUUGUCCGACACGAGAUUUAAAGACAGACGAACAAGCUAACUCUAAGAAGAGAAGAUUAAAACGCAAAAGAUAUUCAACUGAGACUCAGAUCGCAAAAAUACCAAAACUAGUUGACCCAGAGCCUCAUGUGUCCAACUUAAAUGAAGUUUACAACAUUAAGGUAGUUGGACGUCAGUUGUACUUGUUCAUGAUGAAGAUCAUGCAGUUUUACUCCAGCACCCACCUGAACAUUCCUGACGCUCCAUGUCAACAAAACGAAAACACGAUGGUACACCAAGAGCAGGAUGUGCUCAUGAGAAACAUGUAUUCUAAUAAUCUGAAGAAGCUCAAAGAAAAGCUGAAGAACUUGAGAGAAGAAAGCAAACAGGGGAGUGAGCAGAAAAGCAUCGAAAUUAUAGAAAUAGAAAGCCCAGAAAACUCAGAAAAAGAAAAACAGGGAAGCC